UCUGCAGUCGAGCGGAUCUUUGGGAGCUUGCUCCCAAAGAUUAGCGGCGGACGGGUGAGUAACACGUGGGCAACCUGCCUAUGAGACUGGGAUAACUCCGGGAAACCGGGGCUAAUACCGGAUAAUUCUUUUCUACACAUGUAGAAAAGCUGAAAGAUGGUUUCGGCUAUCACUCAUAGAUGGGCCCGCGGCGCAUUAGCUAGUUGGUGAGGUAACGGCUCACCAAGGCGACGAUGCGUAGCCGACCUGAGAGGGUGAUCGGCCACACUGGGACUGAGACACGGCCCAGACUCCUACGGGAGGCAGCAGUAGGGAAUCUUCCGCAAUGGACGAAAGUCUGACGGAGCAACGCCGCGUGAGUGAUGAAGGUUUUCGGAUCGUAAAACUCUGUUGUUAGGGAAGAACAAGUACCGGAGUAACUGCCGGUACCUUGACGGUACCUAACCAGAAAGCCACGGCUAACUACGUGCCAGCAGCCGCGGUAAUACGUAGGUGGCAAGCGUUGUCCGGAAUUAUUGGGCGUAAAGCGCGCGCAGGUGGUCUCUUAAGUCUGAUGUGAAAGCCCCCGGCUCAACCGGGGAGGGUCAUUGGAAACUGGGAGACUUGAGUGCAGGAGAGAAGAGUGGAAUUCCACGUGUAGCGGUGAAAUGCGUAGAGAUGUGGAGGAACACCAGUGGCGAAGGCGACUCUUUGGCCU
rnacentral:rRNA from 1 species